GAAAAAAACCCUUGAUUUCCUUUGUUAUGUUUCCUUCGUAACUUCGUUAGUAUAUCAAUCUUUUCUUCGUUUCCGUCUUCCCCGUUGCUUGAUUGUGGGAUUGAGGAGAAGUCCUCUCUUCCAGUGCAUCAGCUUCCCAGAAGGAAUAAUGCUGAUUCCUGGCCUUGCCAACACACUGCUCCAUUGGAUGAAGCUCGCCCCGUCUAUUCGAUGGGUCGGCUAGCUGCCAAAGGGAGUCCUUUCCUUUCUCCUUGAAAACAUGACGAUAUGAAAUCACCUCUCUGUAAUGGACUUCUAUCCAUGCUUCCUUAGGUGUGCUCGCCCAUUCAUUAUUGAACCUUUGAUUGAAAGAAUGAGUUGUCAUGCUUGCGAUCUUCCUCCUUUCCCCCCCUUCUGCCACAUAAGUCUUUUGUGUUGUCUGUUCUUGUGGAUUGUUGUUUUUCUCUUUUGUUUGGCACAGCAGCACACCUAUGGUGAAGAGUGGUGCUUCCCUCCUGAAUGCCUUAACGUGUACCCUGUUCAUGGAGUAAAAGCUUCACCAGUGUUAGCAAUAAACAGUAAGCUGGGCCGAUCUCUCACUUAGCAGUCCCUUUUUCUGUCGCCAAGUGAAAGCGUUCAAAGGCAGGUUGCAACAUUUCAGCAUUCCACGAGGUAAAGCUUCUUCAGUGCAAGGGUAAUGCGUUUUUGCCCCGUGAGAAAUAGAAAACCGCGACCUUUAGCUAAUUGGCCAAAGGAGCAGAACCUUUUGAUCAAUUUAUUGAUUGGAUCUUUGAUGCGGUUAAUGAAAUUGUGGGGGCAGACAGACCAAACACUGCUUCAAGGUCUUAGCUACGGGCCAAGAAGUGGUCAAUAGAUUGACCGGAUCCUUGGAGAAACGGUUAGCGAAAGUGUAAGCUCAGACAGACCAGUCACUUCAACAUCGAAUGGAGAGAAUUUGCUGGAAGUUGGCUAUGAUGCACUAGUUGGUGUCGAUUCAUGUGCUUCUUGUAGUUGAUGGUGUCAAUUCAUGUGCUUCUUGUAGUUGAUCAUCGUUGCCAAUGUUGUUGCUGCCUUCACUUGGUUGUUUGAUCUGCUACAUAUUACCUAUAUCCACUGUUUCUUAUAAGCUUCAUCUUGUCUGUGUUCUCUACCACUAGAACAUGCUGUUCUUGAUCUUCAGAGCUCUUUUUUCUGCUGAACAAUCUUUGGAAGUGUAUGUAAUUUUCAUUGUUGUUAUAUGUUACAUGCUUGGGAAUGAGUACUCUUUUCCUUGAGUAAUUAUUAAAGCUUUUAUCUUUUUUGAAGGUAUCUAGAACAUACCUGAUUCCUAUUGUACAUCUAAUUUCAUCUGCAAGAACUUACAAUAUGUGCAAAGUAAGCACAUCCAAGAUGUUUUUUAACUUCGGUACGCUUUAGGCAUGUUUGGUAGCCUAAAUAUUCAGAAAAGGAAAAACUGGAUUUUAGAAUUAUAAAUGUUGUUUUUCUUUUUUGGUCUUUGGAUAAUUGGACAGAAAAUAACUAGAAAAUGGCAUACUCUACGCCUAAGUAGGAUUUCUAGAAAUAAGAAAUUUAUAUGUUUUGGAGAACUUGAAAAGUGGGCAAUGGUCUUUUCCCCCUCUUGUCCAGCAUCGCUCUUCCCUUUCCCUCAUCUUCUCUCUCGCCUCAUGUCUUUUCUUCUUUCAUACCUUGUCUCCUCUAAUCCGUCAGCUCCAGUGAAACUUCCUCUGGCAUUUGGCAACAAUCUUUUCUUCUUUCAUACCUUGUCUCCUCUAAUCCGUCAGCUCCAGUGAAACUUCCUCUGGCAUUUGGCAACAAUAGGUCCUCCCUUCUGGUGAUCAUCUUUUCUUUCCUUGUGUUCAUCAUCUCUCUUCCCUUUUCCUCCAUCUCUCUCACCUCAUUUCCCUUCUUCUUUUCUCCCCCAUCUCUCUCCCUUGAUUGGAUGGCUAUGAUGAAACUUCCUCUACAUUCAGCAACAAGUCCUCUCUCUUCGAGUGCGAGAUACAUCGUAAGGAAGUCCUUUGCCUUCUCAGUCUGAUAUUUUGAUAAAUUGUAGAGUUUGGAUUUCGAAUUAAAUUGGCAUAUCGAGUAAUUGUCCAAAUAUGAUUUUAUGGGGUCUCUGUUUUUGUGUUUUAAGAUGAUUUUUUGAAAUCAUUUGGGGUCUCAUUUGUUAUGAGUGGUUAAGGGAUGUAUAUGGGUCUUUUUUGUUUUGUUUCUUCAAUUCAUGUUCAUGAACACAAUUUAUUGAUCUGGAAAUCCAAAGUUCCCAUUUUCAUUUUAUUUAAAUUCUGAACUUAUGGUGCCAAUGCUAUUUGCUCUCUUUCAGUUUCUCGCAAGCUUGAAAAUCUAAACAUGGAGCUCCCUAUGGGACAUGGCAGCAUUAGUAGGUUCAUUAGAUAAGAUUAUAGCACCUUGAGUGAAUACUGAAGUUCUUCAAAUGUUGUCAUGUGGGCUGCUCAAAAGAAACACAUUUUUAUGUUGCAGCAUCUAUUGGUUCCUGCUGUUACAGGUUGGGGAUGUUGAUAUUGUUCAAUCCUGGUUCACACGUGUUUUCAGCCGGUGGAAGCUGAGAAUUUGCAGCUGCAGUUAUUAGAUCCCGGAUCACGUAGCCUACAAUUGGGGUCUUCGGUGCCUUCUGCCAGAGGCUGGGAACGUUGAUCUGCUGCGAUUAGUAGAUCCUAGUUCUCAGUAGUUGCAUCCUGGUUCACGUGAACUUUCAAACAAUUGAUCCAUUAGCCGAGUAGUUUAUCUGCUUGCAACAGGGGUUGUGCCAGAAAUUUCUGGGGGACACUAGUAAUAAAAUUUUAAAUUUUUAACGGACAUCAACAUAUAAAUCAGAAAAAUUACCGUGUCAAUAUGAAAAUAAGUACUUUUGUGGGCUGAGGACAAUUGCCAGUAAUUCAUUUACAUGUACUCAGGGCCUGUUCCUCUUCUAGCCGUUGGAUGGAGCGUGCAAAAUUUUGUGGGAAGAGAUGGACCUACUACACACAUCCCAUGUGAGUGCUUGCUUUUGAUAUCCAUUUGAAAAUGUACAUGGUUUCAGAGAACAGA